rnacentral:rRNA from 1 species
UGGCGGACGGGGGAGUAAUGUCUGGGAAACUGCCUGAUGGAGGGGGAUAACUACUGGAAACGGUAGCUAAUACCGCAUAACGUCGCAAGACCAAAGAGGGGGACCUUCGGGCCUCUUGCCAUCGGAUGUGCCCAGAUGGGAUUAGCUAGUAGGUGGGGUAAAGGCUCACCUAGGCGACGAUCCCUAGCUGGUCUGAGAGGAUGACCAGCCACACUGGAACUGAGACACGGUCCGG